rnacentral:ncRNA from 1 species
ACUGCAGGCUGUCGCUGAGACAUGGUCGCUGAUGUGCAGAGUAGGUAGGAGUCGUUACCGAGGCCCGUGCGCCAGCACGGCGCCCAGACACACAUGAAACACUACCCGUCAGUGACUGUGACUCUCACUCCGGGAGGAGAACACCGGUAGCCGGGCAGUUUGACUGGGGCGGUAC